AUGGCUCCUGUCUACUGGUUCUUAGUCUUCAUCGGGGUUUGGUGGCUACCACUGAUGCUCGUCGGGGCUGACGAGCAGCAAGGCGAAGGCUGCUCGCGCUCGGCCAACAGGUGUGGCACCCUCACCAUCUCUGAUCCGUUCUGGCUGGCUGAGACAGACGCGGGAAGAUCGUGUGGUAUCUUGGACUUCAAGGUCACUUGCUAUAAUAACAGCAGUGCAACCCUACGGAGCUCCGUGCCCCUCAUCCCCGGCUUUGCAAUCAACAGUAUCUCUUACGAGGAACGCAACUUGCGAGUCGUUGAUGAAGGCAAGCAGAAACUAUUGGAAGCCUCCAGCGGUUGCGGCAUAAAGAUUGGGAACACCUCCGCCAAACUAGACACCCAGUUCAAGAUCGACCUCAGCAACCUGAAUCUCAUUUUGUACAAUUGCACGGAGGAAAGCGCGGUGGCUGCUGCACGUCCGGACAGAGGCCUGGUGCAGACAAGAGUGAGGUGCAGGAACGAGUGGGUGGUGUUUGUCCGCUCGGGAGUGCAUCACGACCGGAUCGGGAACUACGCCAGCUACGCCAUGGAGGGCUGCGAUGCAAGCGUCGUGCCGGUACUGGGCUCAUCGUCAGGCAAGACGAACGCAAGCGACUACGAGCAGCUCAUCAAGGAUGGCUUCCUCUUGACAUGGGAGGCCCCCCCUCUCCCUCUGCCUGCAGCAGCACAUGGUAGGCGCAGCAAGAAGUUAAUUUUGAUAGUUUCUCUGUCUGCUACAAUCAGCUUGCUAACAUGUCUAGUUUGGGGGGUGCACCGACAUAAGAAAAAGAUUAGUCUUCUCAUCCUCCCAAAGCAGACCGGUAAUAAAUCAAGCAUGGAAGAAAUGCUGCGGAAGUAUGGAUCUUUGGCUCCGAAAAGGUACAAGUACUCAGAGCUGAAACAAAUGACUAGCUCUUUCAAGGAUAAACUUGGAGAAGGUGGAUAUGGCAUGGUAUUUAGGGGUAGCCUACAAGAUGGCUGUGCGGUUGCCGUGAAGCUCCUAAAAGUUUCCAAAGGCAAUGGAGAGGAGUUCCUAAAUGAGGCAAUUAGCAUUUGUAGGACAUCACAUAUCAACAUUGUCUGUCUGCUCGGUUUUUGCUUAGAAGGAGCAAAGCGAGCCCUUGUUUAUGAGUAUAUGGCUAAUGGUUCACUGGAGAAAUAUAUUUACACAGAGAAUUCAGAUCUAGUUAUUGGAUGGGACAAGUUACAGCAAAUAGCACUUGGCAUCGCACGAGGAUUGGAAUAUUUGCAUCAAGGAUGUAGUACUCGCAUCAUCCAUUUUGACAUCAAGCCUCAGAAUAUACUUCUAGAUGAAGAUUUUUGUCCCAAGAUUGCGGAUUUCGGUUUAGCGAAACUGUGUCACCUCAAGGCCGGUAGCAUCCUCUCUGUCGCCGAAGCAAGAGGUACCAUUGGAUUCAUUGCUCCAGAAGUAUUCUCUAGAGGUUUUGGAGUCGUUUCUACAAAGUCAGAUGUCUAUAGCUAUGGAAUGAUGCUCAUGGAAAUGGUAGGAGGAAGGAUAAAUAAAGGAAAAGGGAAUACCGAGAGCUCAAGUGAUGUGUAUUUUCCAAACAGGAUAUAUGACAGUGUAGCAGAACAGGUACAAACUUGUGAAGUCAUCUGCGACCUUGAAGAGGCCAUGAGAAAGAUGGCCUUAGUGGGCCUAUGGUGCAUACAAACUAACCCCGAAAACCGUCCUUCGAUGAGCAAGGUGAUUGAUAUGUUGGAAAAGAGCAUCAAUGAAUUGGAGAUGCCACCGAAGCCGUUCCUUUCAUGUCCCUCGGUCCCGUCAUAUUUGUCGCCGCACACAAGUUAUGGUUACAUAUCAUCGUAUUGCUCCGCAUCCCCUGCACUGUUACCAUAG
rnacentral:rRNA from 1 species